rfam:Poecilia formosa, whole genome shotgun sequence.
CUGCGGUGCAUUGUAGUUGCAUUGCAUGUGUGUCUCCUAAGAGUGCAAUGUACCUGCAGUGCAACACAG